rnacentral:lncRNA from 1 species
GAAGGCUUAUACAAAAUAGUUUCCUGCAAACUCAAGUGGCUGGGAAGCCCAGCUGAAGGUUACUUCUACCCCAAGGCCAUGUCAGCAGAAAGUGGCCAACAGGACUUGGGCCUGAAAAAGCUCAGACUGAAUUUUAGGAGUGACAUCUGAAACUGCUGGUUUCUCACAAGGAAUAAAAGCUGUCUGGGAAGCUGGAGAGGCAGUGUGCUGUCUGGAGCAGGGACUUGCAAAUGGGAACAGUGAAGAGAGACAGCAUCUCCUUCCUCUGAAGAUUCUGUUCAGAAUGGAUAAAGGUUCAGCAUCCUCCCUGGAUGGGGCAGCUUAGCAGGCAAGAAAGAAGUCAACUGAGUUUCUUCUAGAGAAAUUAUAGAAAG